UCCCCGUUACCGAGGCAGUCUGUCUAGAAAAAUCCAACUAAACAUAAGGGUUGCGCUCGUUGCGGGACUUAACCCAACAUCUCACGACACGAGCUGACGACGGCCAUGCAACACCUGUCACUGCGUUCAAAAAGCACAGAUUCCUUUCGGAGUCCUUCGCAGGAUGUCAAACCUGGGUAAGGUUCUUGGCUUAUCAUCCAAUUAAAGAACACGCUCCACCGCUUGUGCGGGUCCCCGUCUAUUCCUUUGAGUUUUAAACUUGCGUUCGUACUACUCAGGCGGGAUGCUUAACGCGUUAGCUUCGAUUCUGAAGGGGUCGAUACCUCCAAACAUCUAGCAUCCAUCGUUUACGGCGUGGACUAC
rnacentral:misc_RNA from 1 species